rnacentral:rRNA from 1 species
UACGGGGGGGGCAAGCGUUGUUCGGAAUUACUGGGCGUAAAGGGCUCGUAGGCGGCCAACUAAGUCGGAUGUGAAAUCCCCAGGCUCAACUUGGGAACUGCAUCCGAUACUGAAUGGCUUGAAUUCGGGAGAGGGAUGCAGAAUUCCAGGUGUAGCGGUGAAAUGCGUAGAUAUCUGGAGGAAUACCGGUGGCGAAGGCGGCAUCCUGGACCGGCAUUGACGCUGAUGAGCGAAAGCUAGGGGAGCAAACGGG